CCUACGGGGGGCAGCAGUGAGGAAUAUUGGUCAAUGGACGAGAGUCUGAACCAGCCAAGUAGCGUGAAGGAUGACUGCCCUAUGGGUUGUAAGCUUCUUUUAUAAAGGAAUAAAACGAGGCACGUGUGCCUUGUUGCAUGUACUUUAUAAAUAAGGAUCGGCUAACUCCGUGCCAGCAGCCGCGGUAAUACGGAGGAUACGAGCGUUAUCCGGAUUUACUGGGGUUAAAGGGAGCGUAGAUGGGUUGUUAAGUCAGUUGUGAAAGUUUGUGGCUUAACCGUAAAAUUGCAAUUGAUACUGGCAGUCUUGAGUACAGUUGAGGUAGGCGGAAUUCGUGGUGUAGCGGUGAAAUGCUUAGAUAUCACGAAGAACCCCGAUUGCGAAGGCAGCUUACUAAACUGUGACUGACAUUGAUGCUCGAAAGUGUGGGUAUCAAACAGGAUUAGAUACCCUUGUAGUC
rnacentral:rRNA from 1 species